UACGUAGGGUGCGAGCGUUGUCCGGAAUUAUUGGGCGUAAAGAGCUCGUAGGUGGCGUGUCGCGUCUGCCGUGAAAGCCCAUGGCUUAACUGUGGGUCUGCGGUGGAUACGGGCAGGCUAGAGGCUGGUAGGGGCAAGCGGAAUUCCUGGUGUAGCGGUGAAAUGCGCAGAUAUCAGGAGGAACACCGGUGGCGAAGGCGGCUUGCUGGGCCAGUUCUGACGCUGAGGAGCGAAAGCGUGGGGAGCGAACAGG
rnacentral:rRNA from 1 species